rnacentral:rRNA from 1 species
GUGGUAAUGCCGGAUGCUCCAUCACACCGCAUGGUGUGUUGGGAAAGCCUUUGCGGCAUGGGAUGGGGUCGCGUCCUAUCAGCUUGAUGGCGGGGUAACGGCCCACCAUGGCUUCGACGGGUAGCCGGCCUGAGAGGGCGACCGGCCACAUUGGGACUGAGAUACGGCCCAGACUCCUACGGGAGGCAGCAGUGGGGAAUAUUGCACAAUGGGCGCAAGCCUGAUGCAGCGACGCCGCGUGAGGGAUGGAGGCCUUCGGGUUGUAAACCUCUUUUGUUAGGGAGCAAGGCAYUUUGUGUUGAGUGUACCUUUCGAAUAAGCACCGGCUAACUACGUGCCAGCAGCCGCGGUAAUACGUAGGGUGCAAGCGUUAUCCGGAAUUAUUGGGCGUAAAGGGCUCGUAGGCGGUUCGUCGCGUCCGGUGUGAAAGUCCAUCGCUUAACGGUGGAUCCGCGCCGGGUACGGGCGGGCUUGAGUGCGGUAGGGGAGACUGGAAUUCCCGGUGUAACGGUGGAAUGUGUAGAUAUCGG